CGGCGGACGGGUGAGUAACGCGUGGGUAACCUGCCUCAUACAGGGGGAUAACAGUUGGAAACGGCUGCUAAUACCGCAUAAGCGCACAGUACCGCAUGGUACGGUGUGAAAAACUCCGGUGGUAUGAGAUGGACCCGCGUCUGAUUAGGUAGUUGGUGGGGUAACGGCCUACCAAGCCGACGAUCAGUAGCCGACCUGAGAGGGUGACCGACCACAUUGGGACUGAGACACGGCCCAA
rnacentral:rRNA from 1 species